rnacentral:rRNA from 1 species
UCCACGCCCUAAACGAUGCCGACUAGGUAUCGGGAGUAUCGACCCUCCCCGUACCGAAGCUAACGCGUUAAGUCGGCCGCCUGGGAACUACGGCCGCAAGGCUAAAACUCAAAGGAAUAGACGGGGGCUCACACAAGCGGUGGAGCAUGUGGUUUAAUUCGACAAUAAGCGAGGAACCUUACCCGGGUUCACCCCUAUCGAAGCUUCUAGAAACAGAGGCGUGCCUCGCAAGAGGAAUGAUAGGGUCGGUGGUGCACGGCUGUCGUCAGCUCGUGCCGUGAGGUGUAUGAUUAAGUUCAGAAACGAGCGCAACCCUUGUCUC